UGGAGCGCUAUGUGUGGUAGUGGU
rnacentral:siRNA from 1 species